ensembl:lncRNA
UCUGGAGUUUACAAUUUGCUUUGGGGAUGCUCCAAAGUCCAAGAUUUUUGGAUUCAUAUUCAUACUGUAGUAGAGAAGGUUGUAGGCCAAGGGGUGCCAUUUAUGAACAGUCUUUAUGUAGUAGGAGACCCUUCAGCUUUGAGUCACUUACCCACUCCUCUUGCUCAUUGGGUACAAAUGGCUAUUAUACUGGGGAGGAAGCUGUUGGUGACAGAGUGGAAGGCCUCAUCGACUCCUACCUUCUCUCAAUUCUAUAUUUCUCUGGGACAAGUGGCAGCUUGCGAAAGAUUAUCAUAUAGGCUGCUAAAUAGACUGGACGACUAUAAUGAUAAAUGGGCCAACUACCUUUCAUAUACAGGUCAGUGACGUAUCCGGCUAAAGUAGUUAAGGUCGGACUAAAUAUGAUAGCUGUAAUUGGGUCUAUGUGAAAUAUUGGCAUCGUUGUGUAUUUACUUUAUUUUGGAUUUUGUUUUUUUGCAUGAGAAUAUGUAUUGAUUCUCAAUUUGUUUUGUUGUUGUGACUGGGAAUGUCCAUUCUGUUAUCUUCUGUUGUUUUGGGUUUGUUUGUUUUUUUUUUUGUUGUUUUUGUUUUUUAAUAUUAAAAUCUAAUAAAGUUUGAGUCAUAAACCCCCCCAAAAACUAAUAGCCUGGUGUUUCUAUGCAUGUACUCCCAAAUCUAGAGAAAAGGUUGCAUUUGCUGUGUAUAAUAUCUUAUGGUGGUAGAUCAAUACUAUAAAGCCUAUACAGUUUAACGAAUGUAUCACUGAGCAGUACUGAAACAAGCUUUACUCUCCACAUGACAUAUACUAAAAAUAACAAUAAAUAAUUCAGUACUGUUCAAUAAAUAUAUGUAUAUAUAUAUAGAAAAACCUAAUCCAUAUCUGUUUACAUACUUUAAGUGUCUUUUUUCUUGUUUAAAACAGGAAAAAGCCCAGCAAAAAUAUAAACACAAAUAAAUAACAGUGUCCCCAUCCUUUAGCUGAUCUCAAACCAGCCUUCAGACUCAGCAUCAACAUGCUUGUGCAAAUGCUCCCCAGGGAAAAACAACACGGUUGGAACCACGAAAUUGAGGUGCUUGUAACCAUUUACUGGCUGGCCUGUGUAGCCUCAUACAGAGUGACGGCAUCUUAUUGCCUUCCCGGCAAAGAGGCAUUCCGUUGCACAGCUGGUACAAUUGAUGGAUGCCAUAUCCGGAUUCGUCCACCUUGGGAACCAUAUCAGGUCCUACAUAAAUAGGAAACUGUUCCCCUCUCUUGUGCUGCAGGGCAUCUGUG